rnacentral:rRNA from 1 species
UACGUAGGGUGCGAGCGUUGUCCGGAAUUACUGGGCGUAAAGAGCUCGUAGGUGGUUUGUCACGUCGUCUGUGAAAAUCCGGGGCUCAACCCCGGACUUGCAGUGGGUACGGGCAGACUAGAGUGUGGUAGGGGAGACUGGAAUUCCUGGUGUAGCGGUGAAAUGCGUAGAUAUCGGGAGGAACACCGGUGGCGAAGGCGGCUUUCUGGCCAGUUACUGACGCUCAUGCGCGAAAAGCUGGGGUAGCGAAACCGGAUUAGAUACUCCCGGUAGUCCCUGAGCGGG